AGAGACCUCUUCCAGUCAAAUGUGCCACUAUCAUCAGGCCCCCCAUCACUGAUGACUCAGGAGGGUUCUUCCUGUGAGGACAAUGCUGCUGCAAGGAAAGGAGUAUCCACUAUAUAUUUAAAGAGAAAAAAAUUCCUCAAUCUCUUCCAGAAGAUGUCAUGUCACAGAAAAUGGAACAUCAGAGACAGCUCAUUCCUUUUGAAACUCUGUGCCAGGUGUGCCCAGACUACCCUAAACUUGACGAGGCUGUUCUAAUUACUAAUAAAGCAAGGAUUGUCAGCAUGAUGGGAAUGAUUGAGAAUGUUUCAACAUACCACAGAUUGUGUCCUCAGUGCCACAUGGUGUACAGAUCAACGAUGCUGUCUUUAGAUGAGAGUUUCACACAUUAAUAGGGUUUUCAAAAUCUAGUGUUUAACAUAAAGCACCAUUAAAAAUCAGUUUAUAAAUUAUGCCAACCUGAAAAUAAAACUGAAAUUGCUAUGUAUGACACACUUUAACCAACUGGGAGCAUGUGACUGUACUUUUACAUUUUGUUGUGUCCAGGCCGUGUUCCUAAGGCCGUGUUCCUAAGGCUUGUGUACUUAAAGUUGGUGCUAUUAGCAAAUAGCAUUUCACACCCAUCAUGAUGAUGUCUGUUAACUUGUGAAUGUAAUUGUCUUGGAAAAAGGAAUCUUGCAGUGAAGAUCAUUCCAGGGCAGUGGUCAGAAAAAAAUAGGUUUGACUUGAAGGUAUGUAAUGGUGUGAGUGUAUGGUGAAUUACAUGAAUUACGCUAGUCGUCUUUUAAGGGAUUUUAUUAAUGAACCUUUAUUUUCUCUGUAAUAAAGGGUUUUCCGAGCCAAGACUUUGGAAUUGACUGUGGGAUCUUCAUGCUAAUGUCUGCUCUCUACGUGGAACUGGAUGCACCAUUUGAUUAUACUAGAACAUGCCCUACUUGCGGAAAUGGUGGUGCUUGCUGUUGAUGGAGAACUUUGAUCUCAGGAGGUAUUUAUAUUUUGGCUUCUGUGCUAUAUUGUCUCAAGGUUUAGACACAUUAACAAUAUCAAAAUUUUCUGUUAAGCUAUGGCAAGCUUUUUGCACACUGGAGAGAGGACACCAAAGUUGUGCUUCAAGGACAACAUGUGCCCA